GUAAGUGUGCACCCACAUGCAGUAUUUUUGUUUGUAUAUGCUGUUGUAAAUACUCCUGUUGUCUGAUGUGUUCAGACUCAAGUCAUGUUUGUGUAUACAGAACCUUCAAUGUCCUUU